rnacentral:sRNA from 1 species
ACCUAGCCCUGAUGGAAGCGGCAUCCUUUUUGUUUUUUCUUUAAAAACAAAAAGAUACAGCGGACAGCAGGAUACAGC